rnacentral:rRNA from 1 species
AUUGAACGCUGGCGGCAUGCCUAACACAUGCAAGUCGAACGAGUGGCGGACGGGUGAGAAAUAUAUCGGAAACUACCGAGUAAUGGGGGAUAACUAAUCGAAACUGUAGCUAAUACCGCAUCUUAUUUGAGCGGCCGAUAUGUUAUUAGCUGGUUGGUGGGGUAAAGGCCCACCAAGGCGACGAUGAGUAGCGGGUCUGAGAGGAUGAGACGCAACACUGGGACUGUGACACGUCCCAGACUCCUACGGGAGGCAGCGGUGGAGAAUGUUGGACAAGGGGCGCAAGCCUGCUCCAGCCAUGCGGCGUGUCUGAAGAAGGCCUUCGGGUUGUGGAGGACUUUUAUCGGGGAAGCGGUACCUGAUGAAUAAGCACCGGCUAACUCCGUGCCAGCCGCCGCGGUAAUUC